rnacentral:rRNA from 1 species
GACGAACGCUGGCGGCGUGCCUAAUACAUGCAAGUAGAACGCUGAAGAGAGGAGCUUACUCUUCUUGGAUGAGUUGCGAACGGGUGAGUAACGCGUAGGUAACCUGCCUUGUAGCGGGGGAUAACUAUUGGAAACGAUAGCUAAUACCGCAUAACAAUGGAUGACACAUGUCAUUUAUUUGAAAGGGGCAAUUGCUCCACUACAAGAUGGACCUGCGUUGUAUUAGCUAGUAGGUGAGGUAAUGGCUCACCUAGGCGACGAUACAUAGCCGACCUGAGAGGGGGAGCGGCCACACUGGGACUGAGACACGGCCCAGACUCCUACGGGAGGCAGCAGGAGGGAAUCUUCGGCAAUGGGGGCAACCCUGACCGAGCAACGCCGCGGGAGUGAAGAAGGUUUUCGGAUCGUAAAGCUCUGUUGUAAGUCAAGAACGGGUGUGAGAGUGGAAAGUUCACACUGUGACGGUAGCUUACCAGAAAGGGACGGCUAACUACGUG